CGCUCCCGAAUCAAAUCCCCCAAAUCUCUCCUCCGCUCCUAAAUCAAAUCCCCAUCACCUCCGCCACCACCCCACCUACUCCCACCGUCGCCGCGAGCCACGAGCGCGAGCGGGGCGAUGGCCAAUCCUCCGCUUCUCCUCGACGUCCCCACUCCAUUCGUUGUGCACGCCCUAGGACGAUGGCGGCCGACAAAUCUAGGGCCGCGUGGUUGGUGCAGGAUCCGCAUCGGCGGGCGGCGACGGAAACACAUGGCGCACUGGGAGGACAACGACUCCGGCGUCCGACGUCGACAAGUACAACAUCCUCUCCCGCUUCACCUGCAACGCGUUCUACCUCGACUCCAAGUCCACCAUCGGCGUCGAGUUCGCCACCCGCACCCUCCUCGCGAGUACUCACCCCCGUUCCAUUAAUCGUUGUCAUUCCUUUCUUUGCUCGCCGCUAGAUCCGAUGUAUCAGUCUAGUGAUUCGCUGCCCAGAUAUCUUGCACUCCAGAUCUAGUGAUUCGCUGCUUGCAAACAAUAGCUAGUAAAUCGGUCACCAUGGGGAGGGGACAUGAGAUUCAGAGAAGAGAUGCUGCUGCCAGCCUAUACUAGUUCAUAUGUAUCCAGCAAAGUGCGGCUGGACGAACGAGGCUGCUAUUCUGCCUUGAUCUGCACACAAAGAGUUCUUGGACCUGACCUGAAGCAAGGAUACCUACGGCUGCAAGCCAACAAUGUCUGAAGACAGGCGCUGCUUGUCGAUGUUCUCCGCAUAACGAUAGGCUUCCAUGCUCGUCCCUGGACCAGAUGUUCAAGUACAGCCCCAUCCACUGCAUCGACCUAGAGUCAACAUCACCAUCAAGUACGCCAUCAAAGUGAAUGGAGCUUGUGUUGUUGGUAGAACUCCAUUGAUGACUUCUUCCUAUGUUGAAGAGCAUGUUCCGUGGUAUCCAAGAGUAGAUAGAUUUACACUGGCAGAGCGUUUUAUUUGUCGAUCGCAAUGUUUGUGAUUGUGUGGAAUAUUGUAUGGUUAUCUACAUGAAGUUUGAAGUUCCUGGGCGUGCAAUAUUUGAUGGUCAAACAGGUUGUUGUGAUGUGAACGAGUGUAUGGAGUUUCACAUGUUUUGUUCUGUACAUAAUAUAUUGUAAUAAACCUAUUUUGGUUGUUAUUUGAAG